rnacentral:ncRNA from 1 species
UUACUCUGGAGAGUCUUUACUACCGGUAAAGCGCCGAAGGUGUACCGCCUGAUUUUCAGGCCUAUCUCUCAGGCAAAAGGACAGAGCA